rnacentral:rRNA from 1 species
AGCGAACGCUGGCGGCAUGCCUAACACAUGCAAGUCGAACGAGACCUUCGGGUCUAGUGGCGCACGGGUGCGUAACGCGUGGGAACCUGCCCUUAGGUUCGGAAUAACUCCCCGAAAGGGGUGCUAAUACCGGAUAAUGUCUUCGGACCAAAGAUUUAUCGCCUUUGGAUGGGCCCGCGUUGGAUUAGCUAGUUGGUAGGGUAAAAGCCUACCAAGGCGACGAUCCAUAGCUGGUCUGAGAGGAUGAUCAGCCACACUGGGACUGAGACACGGCCCAGACUCCUACGGGAGGCAGCAGUGGGGUAUAUUGGACAAUGGGCGAAAGCCUGAUCCAGCAAUGCCGCGUGAGUGAUGAAGGCCUUAGGGUUGUAAAGCUCUUUUACCCGGGAUGACAAUGACAGUACCGGGAGAAUAAGCUCCGGCUAACUCCGUG